GAUGAAGAACGUAGCGAAAUGCGAUACGUAAUGUGAAUUGCAGAAUUCAGUGAAUCAUCGAGUCUUUGAACGCACAUUGCGCCCUCUGGUAUUCCGGGGGGCAUGCCUGUCCGAGCGUCAUUGCUGCCCUCAAGCACGGCUUGUGUGUUGGGCCUCCGUCCUCCUCCCGGGGGACGGGCCCGAAAGGCAGCGGCGGCACCGCGUCCGGUCCUCGAGCGUAUGGGGCUUCGUCACCCGCUCUUGUAGGCCCGGCCGGCGCUUGCCGACACAUCAAUCUUUUUUCCAGGUUGACCUCGGAUCAGGUAGGGAUACCCGCUGAACUUAAGCAUAUCAAUAAGCGGAGGA
rnacentral:misc_RNA from 1 species